UGGGGAAUUUGACAAUGGGCGAAAGCCUGAUCCAGCAAUGCCGCGUGUGUGAAGAAGGCCUUCGGGUUGUAAAGCACUUUUGUCCGGAAAGAAAUCCUUGGCUCUAAUACAGUCGGGGGAUGACGGUACCGGAAGAAUAAGCACCGGCUAACUACGUGCCAGCAGCCGCGGUAAUACGUAGGGUGCAAGCGUUAAUCGGAAUUACUGGGCGUAAAGCGUGCGCAGGCGGUUUGCUAAGACCGAUGUGAAAUCCCCGGGCUCAACCUGGGAACUGCAUUGGUGACUGGGCAGGCUAGAGUAUGGCAGAGGGGGGUAGAAUUCCACGUGUAGCAGUGAAAUGCGUAGAGAUGUGGAGGAAUACCGAUGGCGAAGGCAGCCCCCUGGGCCAAUACUGACGCUCAUGCACGAAAAGCGUGGGGAGCAAAACAGGAUUAGAUACCCCUGGUAGUCCACGCCCUAAACGAUGUCAACUAGUUGUUGGGGAUUCAUUUCCUUAGUAACGUAGCUAACGCGUGAAGUUGACCGCCUGGGGAGUACGGUCGCAAGAUUAAAACUCAAAUGAAUUGACGGGG
rnacentral:rRNA from 1 species